ensembl:lncRNA
CACACACACAGUGAGGUUCGAAAUGAUUGACAACCUUGAUAAAGAUGAGCAAUAAUAACUGUACAAAAAAAUAAUUCAAAUAAUGAGCUAUAUUCUAUUCUAAAAACAAUUCUACUAUACUGAACAAAAUAUAAACAACAAUUUGUAUGAUUUUACUGGGUUACAGUCAGUCAAUUAAAAUAAAUGCAUUAGGCCCUCUUCUAGGCCCUAAUUUCACAUGACUGGGAAAUACAGAAAUGAAUCUGCUGGUCACAAAGUAGGGGUGUGGAUCAGAAAACCAGUCAGUAUCUGGUAUGACCACCAUUUUCCUCAUGCAUCCUGUCACAUCUCCUUCACGUCGUGUUGAUCAGGCUGUUGAUUGUGGCCUGUGGAAUGUUGUCCCACUCCUCUUCAAUGACUGUGCGGAGUUACUGGAUAUUGACGGGAACUGAAACACAUUAUCAAACAUGUCGAUCCAGAGCAUCCCAAACAUGCUCAAUGGGAGACAUGUCUGGUGAGUGUGCAGGACAUGGAAGAACUGGGACAUUUUCAGCUUCCAGGAAUUGUGUACGAUAAAAUGCAAUUGUGUUCGUUGUCUGUAGCUUAUGCCUGCCCUUACCAUAACAUACCUCCAUCAUUGGGCACUCUGUUCACAUCGUUGUUAUCAGCAAACCGCUUGUCCACACGACUCCAUACCCGUGGCCUGCUGUUGUGAGGCUGGUUGGACGUACUGCCAAAUUCUUUAAAACGAUGCUUACAGUAGAGAAAUAAUGUAAUGUUUUGUCUGUCAACAGCUCUGGUGGACAUCCCUGCAGUCAGCAUGUCAAUUGAAUGUGCCCUCAAAAUUUGAGACAUCUGUGGCUUUGUGUUGUGACAAAGAAACUGCACAUUUUAGAGUGGCCUUUUAUUGUCCCCGGCACAAGGUGCACCUGUGUAAUGAUCCUGCUGUUUAAUCAGCUUCUUGAUAUGCCACACCUGUCAGGUGGACGGCUUAUCUUGGCAAAUGAGAAAUGCUCACUAACAGGGAUGUAAACACAUUUGUGCCCAAAAUCUGAGAGAAAUAAGCCUUUUUGUGCGUAUGGAACAUUUCUGGGAUCUUUUAUUUCAGCUCAUGUUGCGUUUAUAUUUUCUGUUCUCAGAGAAAGAGAUUUUGUUUAACAACUUAUUCAUUUUUUUUUUAUUGCUGACACCCCUAAAGUUUCUUAUAAAUAAAUAGUCAAAAGUGUAGUAUUUGGUGCCAUAUUCCCAGCAUGCAAUAACUACAUCAAACUAUAUAAUAAUAAUAAUAUUCUUGCCACCUAAUAACUACAUCAAACUUGUGACUCUACAAACUUGGAUACAUUUGCAGUUUAUUUGGUUGUUUCACACUCUUUUUUUUUGUCGUUGUUUUUCCCAGGACAAACGAACGGUGAUUAAUGUAUUCUGUCAUCUUGGAGUCACUUCUCUUAUAAAAGAAGAAUAUAAUAGUUUCUUAACUUCUAUUGAGUUUUGGUUCUGAAACUUAAUGAGUCGAAGACAAACUCCUCCCUACACAUCCUCAAUGUAAAGCGACUAUCAAAACGCUUUCAUUCUAUGACGUAAUUAGUUUGAAGCCUCUUUUCGUUUGAAGCCUCUUUAAUUCACUGAAGACAGCAUUUCUUCAUUCAUGUGGAUGCACAAUUCAUUCAGGAUUUUCCAUAAUCACAGUACCAAGUGUUUAGAAACAUAUUCUAUUUUAGCAAUGAGGCCUGGGAGGGCCGUGGUAUAAUGGCCAUAUACCACAAAUCCCUGAAGUGCCUUAUUGCUAUUAUAAACUGGGUACCAACAUAAUUAGAACAGUAAAAAUACAUGUUUUGUCAUACAUGUGGUAUACGGCUGUCAGCCAAUCAGCAUUCAGGGCUCGAUCCACCUAGUUUAUAAUCUUAUUCAUAAUAAAAGUGACUCCAAAAUGACACACUACAUUAUUUACCAAUCAUUUCUACUGGGCACAAAAUAAUCUGAAAUGUUACCCAAAUAAACUGAAAAUGCAUCCAACAAGUUUGUAGAGUCACAACCUUGAUACAGUCAUUAGGUGGCAGGAAUAUGGAACCAAAUACAACAAUGUUGACUCAUUUAUUUUUUAAGAAUAUUUAGGGGUGCCAAUAAUUUUGACCCUUACCUUUUUUGAGGGGAAAAAAGUAUUACUUGUUAAACAAAAUCUACUGAGCAAUUUGAAUUCUUAUAAAAAAUAUAUAAUUUUCCUUUAUUUAUUUGUAAAAAUGUUUUUUUACGAUUAUAGCUCAGUGUUUGAAUUAUUUAUAGUAUACAAUCAUUAUUGUUCAUCUUUAUUGAGGAGGUCAAUAAUGUUUAGACACUUUGUUUUGCCAUUAUUAUGUUCUUGUAGAUGUUUUGUAGACAAUGUGAUUUCUAUUGGUGGGGGUUCACAAGGACUGACUGGUUUUCACUGAAGAGAGCUACAUAAUAUCCAGAUUUGACCUGUACUCUUGUUACUUGUCGUUGUAAACUUUCCUAAGCUUUUCCCGAAUAUUUUACCGUUAAUUUCACCUGUUUUACCUCUCAACUUCCUUUUCCAUCAUUUACAUACGCUAUGAUAGGGACUGGUCACUAGCAACGUACAUAGCAGGAGACAAGCUAAACCGAAGAGUAAAGUUAAUUGUUGAUAUUUUACAAUAUGCAUUUGUAAGAUCAGAAGUCUGCAGACAAAUUAGCUUUCAUAGCACAUCCCUACAUUCUUACACCUACAGUCACCCAUUUAUCCCUACCGUCACUCAUCUUCCCAUUUACCCUGUCUGUCCAUCAAAUCCCUGCCUCACCCCCUGUCCCCUCUAAACCUCCCUGUCUGUCCAUCAAAUCCCUGCCUCACCCCCUGUCCCCUCUAAACCUCCCUGUCUAUCAAAUCCCUGCCUCACCCCCUGUCCCCUCUAAACCUCCCUGUCUGUCCAUCAAAUCCCUGCCUCACCCCUGUCCCCUCUAAACUCCCUGUCUGUCUAUCAAAUCCCUGCCUCACCCCUGUUCCCUCUAAACCUCCCUAUCUGUCCAUCAAAUCCCUGCCUCACCCCUGUCCCCUCUAAACCUCCCUGUCUGUCCAUCAAAUCCCUGCCUCCACAAAUCCCUGCCUCACCCCCUGUCCCCUCUAAACCUCCCUGUCUGUCCAUCAAAUCCCUGCCUCACCCCCUGUCCCCUCUAAACCUCCCUGUCUGUCCAUCAAAUCCCUGCCUCACCCCUGUUCCCU